GACGAACGCUGGCGGCGUGCUUAACACAUGCAAGUCGAACGAAGCUUGAUUACGGAUUCUUCGGAUGAAGUAUGAUAUGACUGAGUGGCGGACGGGUGAGUAACGCGUGAGUAACCUGCCCUUCAGAGGGGGAUAGCGUUUGGAAACGAACGGUAAUACCGCAUAAUGUAUUUUGACCGCAUGAUCGAAAUACCAAAGAUUUAUCGCUGAAGGAUGGACUCGCGUCUGAUUAGGUAGUUGGUGGGGUAACGGCCUACCAAGCCGACGAUCAGUAGCCGGACUGAGAGGUUGAUCGGCCACAUUGGGACUGAGACACGGCCCAGACUCCUACGGGAGGCAGCAGUGGGGAAUAUUGCACAAUGGGCGCAAGCCUGAUGCAGCAACGCCGCGUGAAGGAAGACGGUUUUCGGAUUGUAAACUUCUGUUCUUAGUGAAGAAUAAUGACGGUAGCUAAGGAGCAAGCCACGACUAACUACGUG
rnacentral:rRNA from 1 species